GGUGGCUCAGUGGUAGAGUGCUUGCCUUGCAUGCAUGAGGCCCUGGGUUCGAUUCUUCACAGCACCA
rnacentral:tRNA from 1 species